UGUCCAUCAGGGUCACGCUCCGAGGCAAGGGGAGGCGAAACGAGAGGGAAGACGGCUUCUCUCUGAAGGGUAGACGGGCCUGCUGGGACGCUCCGGGAGGACUUGGGACAGGCGCUGGGCGGGGUUUCGUCGUUCCGCGGAACGCCGGGAAGGGGUCACUUCCAGAUGAAGGUUCCGGUUCCGGUGCGGGCGGAGGUUGCGUUGCCACGGCAGCGCGGUUGGCCGGCCGCUGGUUCUGGCGUUCCGGGUGGUGGGGGGGCUGGAGCAGGCUUGGAUCCGCCGUUCCCGGCUUAGGUGAGCUUCCCGGAGCUUCAGUAAGGCCGCGGCUGUUCGCGGCGAGAGCAGGGACUGCGCCGGGCUCUGGCGGCCAGGCCUGCCCGGGGCUACGGCGUCGGGGCCCGGGCCGUGUGUCGCAGCCCUCCUGUGGUCCCGCUGCCCCCGUGGGAGCAGAGGCCCAGACCCCUUCCCGUGGUUCCCGCCUCUGCAGCGCGAUUAUUUCACUAAAACAACUUUGAUUUUUAAAGUUUGUAAAGAGCUCUCGUCUGUGUGAUCGGGGCUUCGCUGACUUUCCAGCCGACCUAAGCCCCUGGGCUUGGGCCCAGGAAAGGUUGAAUGGGGAACUAAGAAAGGAAUUGGUUCAUUCGACAGACGUUUUCUGAGCAGCUGCUGCGUGCAAGGCACGGUGCCGGCGCGGGACCUGUGCCCAGAGCUUGAGAAAUGAGAAGCAGUACGUAGAACAGUGCUUGGAACCUAGCAGGUGCUCACAUUGGUGGAAAGAAUGAUCCCAGAAGAGCGGGGCUCAGUGAAAUCGCCACGUGGUCUGUAGUCUUGGAGCGGUGCUGGGUUGGUGGUACCCUAGAGCACACCAGACUUGCAGAGAAAGCAUUCUCCAGAGGAAGCUGAGGCAUGGCUGCUCAAGGGACAGCAGUGCCAUGUGCAAUUUUCCUCUGAUAGUUUCCGAUUACUGUUGCCACGGUGAUAAUGGCUGUGCCAUGUCAUUAUCUAUCAACCGACAGUAAGAGAAGCUUUUGCAGUCAGAUGUUGUUUAACAGAUGGAGUGGUUUCUGUUGGACACUAAGUACUGCUACAAAUUACUUUCUUUUUAAACCCUAAGUAUUUAAAAAUUUGUGGCUGGAGGUGACCUGGUUCUGCUUUGGAGGUGCUCAAGUUUAAAAAUCAGAAAAUUAGUACAUGUGCUGACAGCAAGUGAAUCUUCCAAAUAAUCGUUCACCGGGAGACUUGAGGCCAGUAAGCUGAAAAUAAACUCAAGAUGUUACUCAGAAGUGCUCCCCAGUGACGUAUUUGUUUUAUCCCCGUGGUUGUUAUUGAUGUUUGGUAGUUUUCUAAUGUGGGACCCAAAAUUGAUCAGCUUCUUAAAGAGUCCUUUUUUUUCCCCUCUAGAGUCAUUGAUUCCAGGUAAAUCAGAGGAACAAACAUCAUACAGAAAUAUACAGGACAGUAACAUACAGGAAGCGAUGUGAAACUGUUGUUUCAAAAGUCCAGCAUCUGGUGCACCUAACAGUAGGGGCUAUAUUAUUUGCAAAGUCACCUAACUUUUACUCAUACUUAUGUUCUGAAUGAAGAGAAAUGAUGUCCUGUAAAUUUAGUUCAGUCUAGAACACACUGUGGGAGAUACAGGUGAAAAUGGAUUCCUGAAGAGGCACUUACGAAAAGCCUGGAUGUCACAGCAGAGCCUGAUUCUGUUCUGGGAUUUGGACUGUAGAGGUGUGAGGCCUGGCUUCAGUCCUAAGCAUCACUUACAAGCUCUUUUGGAUUUUCCUUGGAAUUUUCUGCCCCUUACAUCUUCCCCUUCCUGGAUUUGUGAAAAAUGUCUUUGUGACAUCUGCAAAAGAUCCCACAUACUGUGGAGCAACUAAGCCCGUGCACCACAACUACUGAGCCUGCACUCUAGAGCCCACAAGCCACAACUACUGAAGCCCACGCGCCUAGAGCCCGUGCUCCGCAGCAAGAGAAGCCACCGCGAUGAGAAGCCCGUGCACAGCAACAAAAAUCCAACUCAGCCAAAAAUAAAAAUAAAUAAAUUUAUUUUUUUAAAAAAAGAAUGAACCAGAAGUAAAAAAAGAAAGAUUGUUAAUAACAUCUUUUUGACAGACUUGAGCACUUUGGGUUCCUCUUUUUACCUUCACAAGCACUUCUUAAAUCUUACUGUGGAAUCGUAGCAAAGCCAGCAAGUCCCACAGAAAAUUAAAUAUUCCUGAAUUAUCUCCAGGGUAUGUAUGUAUUGGAUACAGAUGUGAUUUUUAUGCUUUGUGAAACUAAACUGACAACAAUUUCAAUGCAAAACUCCAAGGAAACAAAUAACCCAUAGCUUUUCACUUCUGGAAGUUUCAUUCUCUUUUGUCCCCAUGCUGCUUUUUCUCAGUGAGGCCUGAAGUCUCUGGCUAUAUAUAGGCUUUUAAACUCAGACAUCUGCUGGAUUUUGUUCUAUUGAGAACUUUAUUUCGAGGGAAAGAGCCCAAAUCAUAUCUCCUGUCAGGUAAUAUUAAGAAUUAAGUGGUAAUCAUAAAACAUGUUAAGACUUAAGGUGAUAAAAGAAUUGUUGAAUUUUCCUCAACUGUCUGUUUAGUGAAAGAUUUUAAUGUUUUGUGUUAUGUUUUUUUUUUUUUUUGCAAGCAGAUAGAUUCCAUGAUUCAAACUGUUAUUACAUUUCCAGCGACUUCUGAGAAGGUGCCCAGACCACAGAAUUCAGAAAGCAAGGAGCCAGUACUGUUGUGUGUCACACUUGCUAGGAAGAUUUAUCUGUUGGCAGGAGUCUGUGUCUUCCUCUGAUAAUCACUGAGAUUGCGGCCAGACGAACACUGAGAAAAUUUUAUUGUUUUCCUUUGAAUGAUGGCUAAGAUGUAUUGCCAAGGCCAUAAAUAUUCAUUAUGUUGA